UACGUAGGGUGCGAGCGUUAAUCGGAAUUACUGGGCGUAAAGCGUGCGCAGGCGGUUCGCUAAGACAGGUGUGAAAUCCCCGGGCUCAACCUGGGAAUGGCGCUUGUGACUGGCGGGCUGGAGUACGGCAGAGGGGGGUGGAAUUCCUGGUGUAGCAGUGAAAUGCGUAGAGAUCAGGAGGAACAUCGAUGGCGAAGGCAGCCCCCUGGGCCGCUACUGACGCUCAUGCACGAAAGCGUGGGGAGCAAACAGG
rnacentral:rRNA from 1 species